GACGAACGCUGGCGGCGUGCUUAACACAUGCAAGUCGAGCGGAAAGGCCCUUCGGGGUACUCGAGCGGCGAACGGGUGCGUAACACGUGAGUAACCUGCCCCAGACUUUGGGAUAACCCUCGGAAACGGGGGCUAAUACCGGAUACGACACAGCUUCGCAUGGGGUCUGUGUGGAAAGUUUGUCGGCUUGGGAUGGGCUCGCGGCCUAUCAGCUUGUUGGUGGGGUGGUGGCCUACCAAGGCGACGACGGGUAGCCGGCCUGAGAGGGCGACCGGCCACACUGGGACUGAGACACGGCCCAGACUCCUACGGGAGGCAGCAGUGGGGAAUAUUGCACAAUGGGCGGAAGCCUGAUGCAGCGACGCCGCGUGAGGGAUGACGGCCUUCGGGUUGUAAACCUCUUUCGGCAGGGACGAAGCGUGAGUGACGGUACCUGCAGAAGAAGCGCCGGCCAACUACGUG
rnacentral:rRNA from 1 species